UCCUCGGUGGCUCAGUCGGAUAAAGUGUCUACCCUGUAAGCAGGAGGUCCCGGGUUCGAGUCCCGGUCGGGGCA